rnacentral:rRNA from 1 species
AUGAACGCUGGCGGCGUGCCUAAUCCAUGCCAGUCGAGCGAACAGAUGAGGAGCUUGCUCCUCUGACGUUAGCGGCGGACGGGUGAGUAACCCGUGGAUAACCUACCUAUAAGACUGGGAUAACUUCGGGAAACCGGAGCUAAUACCGGAUAAUAUAUUGAACCGCCUUGUUCCAUAGUUAAAGACGGUUUUGCUGUCACUUAUAGAUGGAUCCGCGCCGCAUUAGCUAGUUGGUAAGGUAACGGCUUACCAAGGCGACGAUGCGUAGCCGACCUGAGAGGGUGAUCGGCCACACUGGAACUGAGACACGGUCCAGACUCCUACGGGAGGCAGCAGUAGGGAAUCUUCCGCAAUGGGCGAAAGCUUGACGGAGCAACGCCGCGUGAGUGAUGAAGGUCUUCGGAUCGUAAAACUCUGUUAUUAGGGAAGAACAAAUGUGUAAGUAACUAUGCACGUCUUGACGGUACCUAAUCAGAAAGCCACGGCUAACUACGUG